GGGCCUGUAGCUUAGCUUGGUGGAGCGUUCGGCUGAUAACCGGAAGGUCCUCGGUUCAAAUCCGAGCAGGCCCA
rnacentral:tRNA from 2 species